UUUAAAAGAUUAAUCUUUACACUUUUUCCAGUUACCAAGAUAUUUAAUAACUGUGUUUGUGAGGGGUGAAGUCGACCCUGAAUACAGUGAAUGUAAAUACAACCUGUCAUUGGACCUACCAUGGGAAACUUUUAAGGAAGACUAAGAGACUAGCGGGGUUUAAUUUAGAGAGGCAGGACCAUUUCUUAAUUUAAUAAUAGUUUUUAAAAUUUCUGAUAUUUCAGCAGUAUCUGAGAUUCUGCCUUACAUUUUUCAGGGACUGUUUUUCUUUAUUAAAUCUCUUAGCUCCUGGUGACUUUAAUUUUAUUUGCCUUGUUAGGUGGUACAUUCUCCUGUUCCACUGGCUUUUUUUGUCUGGAAACAGUUGUCAAAAAUAAGUUUGGUAGUGAAGAUGUUUGGUAGUGAAUAUGGUGAAGAGUGGGACAGACAGGGUUAAACCUGGUUGAAGGAAAGUGGAGAGAAUGGGGAGAAGUUGAGUUGAAAACAACUAGUGGAAACCUGUUGGUUCAAAUUAAACACUAAUCUCCUGUUUUGGCAUUUCUGAAUUGAAGCAGGCAUAAGGGCUCAAAUCUGUCUAAUUGAAGCUUUCUUGGGGUUUUGUGAAGAGUACAUUUCAAAAUUAAAUACUUUAUUUCUUAGUCCUUAUCUUUAAACAGAUUGUUCUCGGAAUUAUUAUUGUCUUUGUUUGUCUGAGUUAAGGAUGCUGCAGGGUUUUUAGGAUUCAGUGGAUAAUUUGCCUAAAAAUUAAUCUGACAACUCCCAGUAUAUUUAAAAAGCCUGGCCCGGCCACUUCUGAGAGUUUGCUGGAAUCUGUUGUUGCACAGCAGGGUUGUCGUUCUUUGGUUGCUAAGCUGUGUCAGACUUUGCGACCCCAUGGACUGUAGCCCAGCGGGGUCCUCUGUCCAUGGGAUUUCCCAGGCAAGAAUACUGAAGUGGGUUGCCAUUUCCUUCUCCAGGGGAUCUUCUUGAUUCAGGGAUCGAACCCCUGUCUCCUGCAUUGGCAGGCACCUUCUUUCCCACUGAGCCACCGGGGAAGCCCACACAGCAGGGUAUAGGAGGAUAAAUGCGCUAAAGGCGAUAUUCAGCCAGCUUCCUUCACCAGUGGCUAUAUGUUUUAAGUUUACUGGAGAAUGGAGAAUAGAGUUUAUAUUUUGAUAAUAAGAUUUCUAUGAGUUUUAAAAAUGUAAUUACCAGCUGCUUUUAAAUAUGCCCUAACAGACAUUUUAGGGGCUCUAAGAUACAGACCAAGGCUUCUUUCAUUGAUAAUGAAAGAUAAUUGAUAAUUUCAUUUUCUGGAAAUGAAAGCAAAAAAUACGUUCAAGUGUAUAACAUUCCCCAAAAGUAUUAUUGGAAAAAGACAAGUGUUCUUAAACUAACUUUCCCCGCCAAGACAAAGCAAGAUUGCAAACAAAAUCCUGUCUUGCCUAAAGUUGGGUUUUCUCUGUGUCAGCCCCUGCCACAGUAAACACUUUUUAACUAUCGUUAUGAAGAAUUUCAGGAACACUGAGGGUUGGAAGCACUUUUUGUUAAAUUGGAGUGUAAUUGCUUUACAAUAUUGUGUUCGUUUCUGCUGUUCAACAGUGUGAAUCAGCUGUAAGUAUACAUAUGUCCCCUCCCUCUUGGGCCUCCCUCCCUUCUCACCCCUAGGUCAUCCCAGAGCGCCACGCUGAGCUUCCUGGCAUAUGUCCUAUGACACCUUCAGAGCCUUAUAAAAUCUUUCUCUGUGCGUGAGCAUUUAAGUUUAUUUGGCCCAAACUGUGGUAGAAGUGAAGACAAAGCCAGGACAUAAGAGAUACUUAGAGUACCAAAUCCAUCCUUUAAAGAGCUUGUUGAUAAUUGAAAGUCACUAUCAUUCAUCAGCAGCCUGUAUUUUGCUUUUGCUGUUGUUGUUGUUUGGGUGUUUUGGAGCUCUUAAUGGCUUGUGGGGAUCUUCCCUGACCAGAGAUUGAACCCAGGCAAGCAGCAAAAGCCCUGAAUCCUAACCACUCAGGCCACCAGGGGAUUCCCAACAGCCUGUAUCCUGAAGGAUUGAAAAAAACGCCCUGGCAGUGCUAAGUUAGUCAUGCUUUUUCUCACAAAGUUGGAUAAUUGAGACUCCCAGCCCUGUGAUACUGACAGCAUACUGAUGAGAUCCAGCCUCUCCAUUGCUUUUCUUCAAAUCAGAGAAGAAUAAUUGGGUGGGGCAUCAGUAUCUUUUUCAAACCUCUGAAGGAAUUCCAUCAUGCAAGUAGAUUGAGAACCAGUGUUCUGGAGGAGUUGGCACGGUGCUUGGUACCCGUGGCAGGUGAGCCGAGAAACCAGCCAGCCAGCCUCAGGAAGCCACUUGCCAGUCCCGGCGCUGGAGGGGCAGAGAGAACAGGUGGAACUCCAGGAGCUGGGACCACGGUGAGAGGGGCUCUGCCUCCCAUCCUCAACCUCUCUCCCUCUCCCAGAGCCUUGGUGGGAUGUCGUUGGGAAGGGAGCCUGGGGAUGGCGCAGGGGCAGAAUGGGGAAAGGAUCUGGAAAGUGUUAGUCUCUCAGUCAUGUCCAACUCUUUGUGACCCCAUAGAUCGUAGCCCACCAGGCUCUUCUGUCCAUGGAAUUCUCCAGGCAAGAAUCCUGGAGUGGGCUGCCAUGAGGCCACAGGCAAAUGACCCAAGCAGUCACGUAGCUGAUAAGAACUGGAGCCGGGACGGGAACACUCUUUGCUGUCAAAGUCCUUGGACUUCUCUCCAAACCAUCUUCUUUUCAGAAAGCUUAGACCAGACCUAGUGCUUUGCCUUUGGGGCACGUGUCACACCUGCUUAGGGGCAAGUGGCAUGGGCAUCCCAUAGACCGCCGUGCAUUUGUGCUGUGUGUUCCUUCUGGUGAGUGGAGCGCACCACGUGUGACCACAGAGUAACUCGAAAAAGUGGAAUGUUAGAAACUCCUCUCAAGAGCACAGAUGGAGGCUCUAGUCGGGGAGUUCCCAGACUCGAUAAGCAUUCCCACUAUUGUUGUUUCUGUGCCUCUGCCCCCAUGGGGUGCCUCCGAGAUGCCACGGCAGGAUUGAUUAUACAUACAAGUUUUUGGUGUUGCUGAAGGACUUGGGCCUCUGGGUCUGAACUUGGGGGGAGGAGGUUCAGAAAAGAGGGAAAGUAUCUAAGAAGAGCAGAGGGAACCUCGCAUCUCUUCCACUGCUCCUGAUUAAUGAAGCCUUUUCUCCCCAGAGAGAUGUGGGUGGAUAUGGUCCCCCUUUCCUCUGCCCCGUGAGACUGGGAAGUCUGUGGCCCCGCAGGGCGUGGCGCUUGCGCUGAGCUGGGGUCUCCAUUCAGGCUGCAGUGAUGGUGUGGGUGCUGGCCAAGAUGAUAAUGGAGACCGAGGGGGCAGUCUUUCAGUUCGCUUCAAGUCACAGUGCACUUGCAGCGUUGUGAAGAGAACCAGCCUUUAGAUGUGUGAAGACAUCGGAAUACAGGCAACUGGCAAUUUCAGGAGGAAGAAAAGGAGAAAAGAAAAUGAACAUUUACUGAACAGCUGUUAGCACUGUACUCGGUCCUGGACGCGUUCUCUCUUACUGGGUCUUGACGAUAAAUCUGUGUGGAUGGGCUGUUAACCCCUUUUUUACAGACAAGGAAACCUAUUCAAAGAGGUAAGGUAACUUGUCCAAGGCCAUGUUACUCUCGCUGGCAGCGCAGGGAUUUAGAAAGUGUAAUCACUGCCGUCCCUCCUUUCUUUCUUUGCUUCCUUGUCUCAUGAUUCUGGGUGUUUUGUUAGAUGCUAAAGCAUGAAGGGCUUCUCUACAAAGAUUGAUAAGUUUGUUCUCAGGAAACCACAGGAUAUUCCUUGUUCUUCGCACGGAGGCCCACUGCCUCCUCAGAUGGCAGCCUGUUCACUCCUCCUUUUCUGAGCUGGAAGGGGUUAGUGGGAGAGAGAACGCAGAAAGUGAGGAAAGUUCUAGAAACCAGAGGGACCAAGUAUAUUUUAUUUACUCAGUGUCUGUACCAGCUCCUUUAAAACAGAACAGUUUUAUCUGAACCAUUGAUGGUUACCACUGAUAUUUACCCUUUCUCCAGCCCAUGGCUGCAGGGGCUGGUCCUAAAAGAUAAGCUAAACGUUUUUAAAAAUUUCAAGGUGACAUUAAAAGUCAUAUGCCAUGUCUCUCUGGGUCUUGACUGUGUUUUCUGCCCAGUACGUUUUGAAGUAGCUUGGGAAGAUAGUAAAGGAAGCUAUAGAACAGCUGAAGAGGUUGAGUUAUUGUGGUGAUAGAUUGAUGGUUUAGAAACGAAGUCUAGAAUAGGGAGGGAGGCAAGGUUGCCCACUUUCUUAUCCUUUUCCUGACCAUCAGCUUGAGGGAAAACAGCUUAGUGUCCUCUCAGAAAAUAUACUUAAUCUGCAUUUAUAUUGAAUUAAUUGUUAUGUUAUCCAAUUGACAAAAUUCCCUAAUGCAUAUUGGAGAAUACUAUCGUAUCUGUUCUCUCAAACUCAGUUUUAUUGUUAACUUGAAGGAGUGUGUUUUUCAGAUUCUUGAGGCAUAAUAUUUUUGUUUUUAAUCAAGUACCCAAAGAAUAAUUUGAAGUUGAUUUUUCUGUGACUAGUAGCUGUGGUUAUAAGUGAUAUUAAAUAUGAAACCUUUGUGAACAUAAGUAAUUCUUUAACCCCAGACACCUUAGAUACACAAUGAAAAUACUGAAUUCUAAGCCUAACUCUAACUUAUUCAUUCCACAAAUAUUUAUAAGGUGGUAACACACCCUAGGGAACUUUCAGGGCAUGAAGUUGUUUUAAUCAUCCAAGAUAAUGUGGCAAAUAUAUUGUCCUCCUUGAAGGACAUUUGCUUCUCAAACUGCCUCUCCUCCUAAUUAAUCAGUCCCUUUGUUCUUUGUACACCUGGGUUUUAGGGCAGGGCAUGUUUCAAUACUUAAUGAGUAUAAAUUAAUCUAUCUCUCCUGACUAAGGUAUGACCUCCUGUAGGGUAGGGAUGUGUCAGAGUCAUUUUCGUAACUCUGGCGGCUGGCACCAUGCCCGGUGCUUAUUUAAUAGUAGUUGUUCAGCAAAUGUGAGGCCGUGUCUGUUACUGCCCUCUCGGAACUCGGUAUUUUUAACCUGGGGUAGAUGAAAGGACAGAGGAGAAAAUGUCACUUCCAACUGAGAUGCUCAGAGAGGACAUCCUGGAGGAGGUAGCAGUAUAUCUAGUUUGUUUUUUGCUUUUUUUUUUUUUUCAAGCUGGUAAGAUUUGUUUUGGUUCAAACUGCCGUUGGAAGCCAGAGGAAGCGUGCGGGCGUGAACUGGCCUGUGUCCGUGUGUUGGGUCACUAGGGCUAAAAAGGUGAGCGUGGGGCUGGCUGCAGAGGGCCUUCGGUGCCCAAGUGUGGUGUUUCAGACUUAUAUGAGGCAUCUGGAAAUCACGGGAGGUUUUGGAAAGGGUAAGACACAUGAGCUGGGUGUGGCAGGAAGUUUAUUAUGGCCUCUGCUUGGGCAGGUUAGGGGCAGAGAGAUGCUGAUACGUUGGCAUCAGCCCAGCACUGAGGAUCUGUAAUUAAUACUCCAGUUUGUACCUCCUUUGUUAGCGUUUUAAGAAAUUUUUUAACCC